UACGGGAGGUGCAAGCGUUGUUCGGAGUGACUGGGCGUAAAGCGCACGUAGGUGGGCUUGUAAGUCGAAUGUGAAAUCCCCGGGCUUAACCUGGGAACUGCAUCCGAAACUACAAGUCUUGAACGCUUCAGAGGUUGGUAGAAUUCCAGGUGUAGGAGUGAAAUCCGUAGAUAUCUGGAGGAAUACCGGAGGCGAAGGCGGCCAACUGGGAAUGCAUUGACACUGAGGUGCGAAAGCGUGGGGAGCAAACAGG
rnacentral:rRNA from 1 species